rnacentral:rRNA from 1 species
GACGAACGCUGGCGGCGUGCUUAACACAUGCAAGUCGAACGGAAAGGCCCUGCUUUUGUGGGGUGCUCGAGUGGCGAACGGGUGAGUAACACGUGAGUAACCUGCCCUUGACUUUGGGAUAACUUCAGGAAACUGGGGCUAAUACCGGAUAGGAGCUCCUGCUGCAUGGUGGGGGUUGGAAAGUUUCGGCGGUUGGGGAUGGACUCGCGGCUUAUCAGCUUGUUGGUGGGGUAGUGGCUUACCAAGGCUUUGACGGGUAGCCGGCCUGAGAGGGUGACCGGCCACAUUGGGACUGAGAUACGGCCCAGACUCCUACGGGAGGCAGCAGUGGGGAAUAUUGCACAAUGGGCGGAAGCCUGAUGCAGCAACGCCGCGUGCGGGAUGACGGCCUUCGGGCUGUAAACCGCUUUCGCCUGUGACGAAGCGUGAGUGACGGUAAUGGGUAAAGAAGCACCGGCUAACUACGUGCCAGCAGCCGCGGUGAUACGUAGGGUGCGAGCGUUGUCCGGAUUUAUUGGGCGUAAAGGGCUCGUAGGUGGUUGAUCGCGUCGGAAGUGUAAUCUUGGGGCUUAACCCUGAGCGUGCUUUCGAUACGGGUUGACUUGAGGAAGGUAGGGGAGAAUGGAAUUCCUGGUGGAGCGGUGGAAUGCGCAGAUAUCAGGAGGAACACCAGUGGCGAAGGCGGUUCUCUGGGCCUUUCCUGACGCUGAGGAGCGAAAGCGUGGGGAGCGAACAGGCUUAGAUACCCUGGUAGUCCACGCUGUAAACGGUGGGUACUAGGUGUGGGGUCCAUUCCACGGGUUCCGUGCCGUAGCUAACGCUUUAAGUACCCCGCCUGGGGAGUACGGCCGCAAGGCUAAAACUCAAAGGAAUUGACGGGGCCCCGCACAAGCGGCGGAGCAUGCGGAUUAAUUCGAUGCAACGCGUAGAACCUUACCUGGGUUUGACAUGGAUCGGGAGUGCUCAGAGAUGGGUGUGCCUCUUUUGGGGUCGGUUCACAGGUGGUGCAUGGCUGUCGUCAGCUCGUGUCGUGAGAUGUUGGGUUAAGUCCCGCAACGAGCGCAACCCUUGUUCACUGUUGCCAGCACGUUAUGGUGGGGACUCAGUGGAGACCGCCGGGGUCAACUCGGAGGAAGGUGGGGAUGACGUCAAGUCAUCAUGCCCCUUAUGUCCAGGGCUUCACGCAUGCUACAAUGGCUGGUACAGAGAGUGGCGAGCCUGUGAGGGUGAGCGAAUCUCGGAAAGCCGGUCUCGGUUCGGAUUGGGGUCUGCAACUCGACCUCAUGAAGUCGGAGUCGCUAGUAAUCGCAGAUCAGCAACGCUGCGGUGAAUACGUUCCCGGGGCU